UCACGAGUAAGGUCACCCCAGACUAAGGUUUCUAAUUAAUCAGCCAAGACCAGAGCCAUUUAGUCUUGUGGUAGCACUGUUUUCCUGGGUGGUUCUCCAUGUUCCAAUUAAUCACAUUGAUCUUGUAUUAAAGGAAGGUGUAGCAUAAAUAAAAAAUAGGUUCAUCAUCUUUGUUCAUUAGAACCACCAUAACCCAAAUAUAGCAGCUAAGCAUAGCUACCCAACAGAAAGGUAAACCCAGGUUGGCAAGGAAUAAUCACAAAAACUAGGCAAACCUUAAUAGGACCCAUCAAAUUUAAUGCAAGCAUAUGCAAUAGUGAUUAAACAAAGUUAUUAGCACAAAAGCACAAGGACACACUUGCCUUUCUCCAGCGACAAGUUACUUCUUACUGCUCUUCGGCUCUUGCUCUCUUGAAACUCUUAAUCUUCAAAGCUUUCGAACAGCGAUCCUUCUACUCGAAGCAAUCACCGGCACAAUCAUACAAGUAAACAAACAAAUACAACUAAGAGCAGUACACCAAAACAAAAGGAAAGCUUUAAAAGAGCGUACUAACGACAAGGCUCGAUCUAAGGUCACGCGAACGUAAGGAACGCUUAAAACGGAACUAUGGUUGAAAAGAUAAAGCUAUCGAGAGUUUUGAAUUAUAAAAGAAAGAUAAGAGCUACAAGCUUUAUUUAUUUUAGUUGAGAAAAGCAAUGUAAAGAUAUUUCAGAGAAAUAUCCUUAGUUAGAAUUAAUUAAGUCAUAUUUAUAUUUUCAUAAGAAAAGACGGUGUAAAGCUUACUCCAAUUUUAUUUAUAAAUAUUUGAGUACAAUUUAUGCAAAUUAAACAUUUAAUUUAAAAAUAAGAUACAUGUAGACAUCUAAGCGUAUAGCUUUACAUCUCGAGUUCAACUAAGUAGAUUAAAUUAAAAACACAUUUAUAUUUAUAUUAGCCAAAUUAAUAUUUAAUUAUGAAAACUCGAGAUAUAACCUAUACAGAUUUUACUUAGAUAACAAAUUGAAUAAACAUUAAUCAAAUUGAAUUUAAUUUAUGAAACGUCGAGGUAUAACUCUAAGUGGCUUUUAAUUGGAAGAAUUAUUUAGAUAGGCAUUAAUCCAAUUAACUUUAGUUUAUAAAAAACCGAUAUAUAACCUAAUUAGCUUUUAUUUAGAAGAGGGUAUGAAGUAGGCAUUAAUCAAAUUAACAAUUAUUAUGAAAAAUGAUGUUUAACACUAAAUAGAUUUUAUUUAGAGAAGAACUCGUUUGUCAGGCAUUAAUCAAUUUUAAUAUAAAUUUUAUUUUCAAAAACAUGUGUGAAGGAAAACAUUACCACUAACGUGUAAUUUACAUCAUUAUGAAUCUAACGCAACUUGAACGGAUUAAAACGGAGCUAAAACGUAGAAUCUAUGGGUUAAACAACGUUGGAGGGGUCUAAACGUAAUUAACCGUAGACUUGGGGGGUUAGCUGAGAAGAUUGGCAAGACACAAGGAAUAGUGCUCGUGAAAAGGUUAAAGGAUAGGGUUAGAUUUGCAAAACCGCAGGGGCUGGACCAGAUCUAGGGAAACUAAUAGAUCCAGGGGGUUAUCUGCUAGUUUGCCAAGACACAAAGGAAAGAGGAAAAAUUACAAAUUUCUCCAGGGGCUAAACCGAAAAACAGCGCUUCAUCUUCUUCCUCACGCCAGGAGCAGGCGGCGGACAGAAACAGAGCAGUCUGUUACGGUUGUGCACAGGAACAGAAGAAAGAGAGAGAAAGAUGGGAAAGCCGGAAACGAAGUCCGAUCUCGCGCAUGAACGGCAAAAUGGAACGAUAUCGACGAGACGAACAAGAUGGUGUGCUCACCUUCGGCCAAAGAUAAACAAUGGCGGCCGAAAAACUCGCCGGAGUUGGGGAAGACGACGGAGCCGACAUCGGAUUCAUGCAAUCCACCAUACCACGGCGUAGAGCUCGAAGAGAGGAACUCCAUGGUGGUGUCGGUUUUCGCCGGAAGUCCACGGUUUCGCCGGAAAAGCUCGCCGGAGUUUGACGAAGACCGAACUUUGACUUCAGAUCUACGGAGUUAGGAGAGGCAACUCGUGAAAAGGUUUGUAGAUCUGAAAUCCUCGCGUCGAGACGAACGCGGUGAUAUAUAUAUAGGCCACACUCGGAAAAAGAUAUUUUCGAGUUGACUUUUUAUUUUCGGAAUUUCUGAUUUUAUUUAUCUGCGCGAAAACAAUUCCAGAAAUAGCUGGACUCGUUUUCUAAAGCGAGAAAAAUAUCUAGAAAAUUCUGAAAAAUCUGAGAUAAAUCUCAGAGAUGAAUUGGGAUGCAAGGAAUCCAAAUAAAAUACUUGGAGCUCAUGAAAAGGAUUCUAGAGCCUUCUGAAAAUUAGAUUUAGCUCUAGGAAAAGGAGAAUAAUUUCCGGAAAAAGAUGGAAAAUUCUCACAAGGGUUUGGGCAACGUCUAAACGUAUUUUCAAACCUUUUGCACUCAAGAAACACCAAGAUGCAACGACAUGAAUGCACAGACAUAGAACAACAUUAUUUAAUUUAGAAAAGCAAACAAUUAUUUUUCCUAUACUAAAUUUCCUGUAAACAAAAAUAAAUGUUGGGAAAAUUUUAAAAUUAUGAGAAAAUUAUGGUUUAUUUAUUCUUUUUAUUCACAUCUUGAAAUUCGGAAAUUUCAGGGUGUGACAACACUACCCCCCUUAACAAGAAUCUCGUCCCGAGAUUCGCAAAGGCUAGCAAGAGACAAAGGUUUAGGUGGGUAGCAUCCAACACUUAUUAGCUUCUUCCUAGAUCGUUCAUCCUUACGUAAGCUUCUCAAUCAUGCCUCUUUAUGCUUCACUACAUCACAUAAAACACUUCAGGGAUACUUAGUCUAAUUCCUCUUUUAAGUAUCCUUUCCUUCCCUCUGCUUCUUUUGCCCAUCUUUGAAGAAUUUUCUUCAUUUCUUGGUAAAGUGAUUUGAAUAGAGCUGAAUUGCUUCCCUCUGGCUCGAUUGUCAUCCUUCAAGUCUUCAUACACAUCCUUUAGUCUUCUUCUCCAUCUGGUCCAAACGCUUCUUGGAACAUUGUCUGAUGAAAUGUCUCUCUUAUUUGCGGUAGAAACAUGUUAUUCUUGCUUUGGUACUUUGGCAACUGGAUGUGGUAUGGGAAUUGGGCAUUGGAAAUUGAUGGCAUUCUUUCCUGACUGAGGCGUCUUGAUCAUUCGUCCUGACAAAGAGGCCAACUGAUGUUGUCGGGUUGAAGGCAGGGCUUUUGGGUACUUGGUCCUGGGGUUGAUCAUCUUUCUCUUUUGCACACCAACUAACAAGAUGUUCAUUUUCUCCACACUUGAGGCAAUAUAUUUGGCUCCAGCGGACUUGGUCGACUUAUGCUUUAUUGGACCGUUAUUGGCAUAAUGGCCUUCUUCACCGCAUCUGAAGCACAAUACUUUUACACAUCCAUCUUGGUUUUCUUUCUGCUCCCUAGUAACUCUCGGUGGAUUAACUAGUGGAUCAAGAUUCUUAUUGAUGGGGUUGCCAUGUGGAUGGUGAACAACUUUAGGCUGUGGUUGGUGGGAACUAGGCUGAGUACUGUUAUCUGCCAAUGGUUGUGGUAACUUCAUCUUCUCUUGACUUGCUUUACUAGUUGGCUUCUUGGCUUGCCUACUCCUCCAAGGUUGAAAUUCUUUGGAAGAGAUACUCCAACCCUCAAGGUUCAUAGUCUGAGUACUAUCUUUAUCUUGAGUAACUUCCUCUAGGGAUGGCCCUUGGGCAUACAACUUCCUCUUCUUAUUGAUAUCUAAAUGAUGAUGUUGUCUAGCUUUAGCUAUCAUUAGGCUAUCUUCUUUCUGGAGACAUGGAAGACGAUGGUGUUCCUGGAAUCGUAACAUCUUCGUAUUGUCUCUCCAUUUCAAGCUCCGACGUUCCAUGGCUGCUCUUGUUCCUUUGACAGUUCCAGGCUUCAGCAACUUGCCUCUUCACUGGUCUAGUGGGAAUUCUAGCCUUUUUCAUCUCCAUGUUCUGAGGGGAUGAUGUAUCAGUUUGCAUCCUUCCUUGUAAGACUUGAGCCUGCAUGGCUAAUAGCUUCUCAUUGUCGAACGGUGGUGGAACAGACGGAACCUGAUGGUCAUCACUAGUGAUAGGGUUGUGGUUCCGAGGGAGUGAGGCGUGCUCUGUGAUAUACUGAGGGAUAUUGACCAUGGUUUGAGCCAUUGCUUGUAAAGUCCGAGUUUGUGUUGCCAUAUACUCUAACACCUUGCAUUCAAAUGAUGCGGCUACAGGUGGAAUGUUAAGAUCUCCUUCAUUGGCUCUAUCGUCAUGAUUUUCAUUGGGACUCGCCAUUUGGUUGCGUGAUAAAGAUAGGAUCAGUAGAAAAUAGGAAAUGGAUAAAAUUGCAGAACAAGGUAGAGCACUUCAUGAUAUCUUCAUCUUUUCUUGGGUCGUCAUCCGAGUAAGGUAGAAGGAAGGAUAGAAAGUAGCGAGGUGGCAAGAAAUUUAGGCUAGGACCUUCUUUUCUUCGGCUUGCUUCUAUUUCGACGAUGAUGGUGGCGAUAGCCUCUGCUUGUUGACAUUGGUGUUGCCUUCACUCUCUUCUUGAUGUCCAUCAGAAUUGGGAGAUAGAAAGAAAAAUAACAAGGGUGUGGGAGGUACAAGCAGAUUCGAAGAGAGAAAUGGAAACAAAAAGGUGGGAGACAACAAGUUUCUUAUGGUAGAGUGGAUAGUCUUUCAUCUUUGCUUGUCGCAAGUAGAAUCUCCCUGCUUUCUUCAUCUUCGUUGGUUCUUGUAAUCAUCAUUAGAGUAAGAUGGAGAUCAGAGUAAAGCCUUCUAUUCUUCAACUUGCUUCUAGCGAGACGGUGGUGGUGAUGUUAACUCCUACUUGUUGACGUUGGUGUUGACUUUAGUUCUCUCUUUUCUGAUGUCCUUCAUUGGCUCGGGUAGAAAGGAAUGGAUGACAAGGAUAUGGGAGAUUCAGAAGAAGAACCCAGCUAGGCAACUGAUGUCAUUGUAGAUAGAAGACCCACAAUACACCAACAAUCAUUACAAAGAAACAAAUCAGACAAUUUCAUAAAGACAAGCAUCAUCAUGCAAACACAAAAUUCCACCAGUCAACACAGAGUCAAGAAACGAUGCUAAACGUUGUUAAUAGGGCUGCAAGGGGUACUCCUAAGCAAGGGUUGUUUGGUAAGGCUUCAACGUGCUUGAUGUAGGCAUCCUUCAACUUGCCCAGCAUUGACUCCAGCUGUUUGGUGCACGUUUCAGUUGCUCAGGCUUGACUUCUAGUGGUGAACUGGUAACUCCAUUCUUCAGAUGUCUUGAACAGGCUUUAAGACAGGUGGCAUGGAUCAUCUAGAUAUUUUUGAAUAAAACGAGACAUUUUGGAAUCAAAAGUCAAGGAAAAGAUUCCAAGGUAGCAUUUAUUUCAAAAGCAACGAGAGGUACAAUGGGGAAGAUGGAUAUACUGAAAAUAAAGUUAAGGAAGAGAUAGAUUUACAAGGAUAAGUAAGUAAGGAAAACAUUAAGGAGAUAAAUGAACAAGGGAUUAGAGAGUAGCAAUAUCACUAAGAAAUCAAGGAGGUGUAUUGCAUCAAACAGGUAAGAUCAUCCAUCAAGAAGGGGAUGCAUGAUCAAGAUCAAGCAGUGAUCAAGGAGAGAGGAAAUAAAUAGACAAGGAUUGAGGGUCUAACAUUUGCAAGACAAGAAGUGCAAAUGAAAAGAGCUCAAGUUAUCAAGGAGGAUUGAAUAAAACUUAUCAAGAAGUGAGAAUAUUUUCAAGAAAGGUCAAGGAUAAGGCAGGAAUUAUUUUUAUGAUAAAACAGACCUUAAGAAGCGACCAUUGCUAUCUAGGCUUACGUCCUACAGUCGAUACAGCUCUGAUACCACUUCUGUCACGCCCGGUUUUAAAGGUAAAACCGAAUGCUACCUAUAUGUAUGCCAGGAUCAAGUUUCAUACAUAUAGUGACAUCAUAAGUGAAUAACAGCAACAGUAUCACGUAAAAAGAUACAAAUAAAGACUUACGAAACCAUCAGAGAUACACAGCUUAAAUACUGGAGACGGAGGCUCCAAACUUCACAGGCAAUCGACUGGGGGUUGCGUACGCCUAGAACUCAGCAUCAUCUUCGGAACAACUUCAUAGCAGCUUCUUCUUCUGAGCAAUGUUGUUUAUAGCAAGGGUGAGCACUUGUCGUACUCAGCAAGUGUGAGGAGAAUAUGAAUGCAAGGGUUAAACAAGGAAAGGCUGACCGAUUGACUGCAUUAAGCAUUUUUAGUUGGUCACAUUUUAUUAGCAUCUUAUUACUAAGGUAUAAGUAUAUACCAACCCACAAUUAAUAGAAACAUAAACAUAAGCCAUAAGCAUAUGGCACAACCAUAACCAUAGCAUAAACCACAAUUUAGAUCCAUCUUCAAGUAUAUUACUCAUGUGAGGGUCCAGGCCGCUCUUAACCGUGAGCACGGCUGAUCGAUCAGUUUUACACUCUGCAGAGGUCGCACAUCUUUACCCACAAGUCGCGUAAAAGCUCAAAAGAACUUUAGACCCAACCACGCUUGUGCUGAUCGGGCACAAUACCACACUUCCGAGGUGUGAUUGCAUAGGGACGCUACGAGGCCUUUACAAAGAUUCAUUAGUCAGUGGUAACCCGCUAAGGUUUCGGUGUCUGGCGUGCACCACCCAUCCCAGGUAAAAUGCAACGACUCAGUCCCCCCUCUUGCCUCAUCACGAGUAAGGUCACCCCAGACUAAGGUUUCUAAUUAAUCAGCCAAGACCAGAGCCAUUUAGUCUUGUGGUAGCACUGUUUUCCUGGGUGGUUCUCCAUGUUCCAAUUAAUCACAUUGAUCUUGUAUUAAAGGAAGGUGUAGCAUAAAUAAAAAAUAGGUUCAUCAUCUUUGUUCAUUAGAACCACCAUAACCCAAAUAUAGCAGCUAAGCAUAGCUACCCAACAAAAAGGUAAACCCAGGUUGGCAAGGAAUAAUCACAAAAACUAGGCAAACCUUAAUAGGACCCAUCAAAUUUAAUGCAAGCAUAUGCAAUAGUGAUUAAACAAAGUUAUU
rnacentral:lncRNA from 1 species